GGUCGAGAGGCGAAAGAUUUAUCGCCGAGGGAUUGGCCCGCGUCCGAUUAGCUAGUUGGUGAGGUAAUGGCUCACCAAGGCGACGAUCGGUAGCUGGUCUGAGAGGAUGAUCAGCCACAUUGGGACUGAGACACGGCCCAAACUCCUACGGGAGGCAGCAGUGGGGAAUAUUGGACAAUGGGCGAAAGCCUGAUCCAGCCAUGCCGCGUGAGUGAUGACGGCCUUAGGGUUGUAAAGCUCUUUCAUCAGGGACGAUAAUGACGGUACCUGAAGAAGAAGCCCCGGCUAACUUCGUGCCAGCAGCCGCGGUAAUACGAAGGGGGCUAGCGUUGUUCGGAAUUACUGGGCGUAAAGCGCAUGUAGGCGGGUCUUUAAGUCAGGGGUGAAAUGCCAAGGCUCAACCUUGGAACUGCCUUUGAUACUGGAGAUCUUGAGUCCGGGAGAGGUGAGUGGAACUGCGAGUGUAGAGGUGAAAUUCGUAGAUAUUCGCAAGAACACCAGUGGCGAAGGCGGCU
rnacentral:rRNA from 1 species